UCCGGUUUGGCACCGGCAGUCUUCCCAGAGUCCCCGGCAUGACCCGCUGGUAACUGAGAACAAGGGUUGCGCUCGUUGCGGGACUUAACCCAACAUCUCACGACACGAGCUGACGACAGCCAUGCAGCACCUGUGUUACGGCUCCCUUUCGGGCACCCCUCCAUCUCUGAAGGGUACCGUACAUGUCAAGGGUAGGUAAGGUUUUUCGCGUUGCAUCGAAUUAAUCCACAUAAUCCACCGCUUGUGCGGGUCCCCGUCAAUUCCUUUGAGUUUUAGCCUUGCGGCCGUACUCCCCAGGCGGGGCACUUAGUGCGUUAGCGACGGCACGGGAGGAGUCGACACCUCCCACACCUAGUGCCCAUCGUUUACGGCGUGGACUAC
rnacentral:misc_RNA from 1 species